UCACCUCAGUUUCCUAUUAUUUUCUUCUUAAUGGCAGUGAGUUUGGUUCUCUUACCUUACCUAGAUGACUCCGUCAAGGAGAUCCUCUCACCCCCUGUUUUUUUCUAAUAUUCAUGGAAGCUUUCAGUUCAUUGUUACAGAAUGCAGAAAAGGCUGGUCAUAUUCAAGGAAUUGUUGUAUGCAAAAAGGCAAAUGACCCACAAAUUUACCGUUGUGCUACCUUUUCGUCAAUCCUUUGUAUCAAAGAAGUUCUGAACACCUAUGCAAAAGCGUCUGGCCAAGUGGUGAAUCUCAGUAAAUCCUCUGGUCUUGAGCAGACUACCAAUGAUUUUUUUAAGGCGACUUUACCGAAUAUAUUAGGACUUAGACGAGAAGAACAACUAGAACGUUAUCUCAGCUUACCUUCGAUGGUGGGACGAUCAUGAAAAGGAGUAUUCUCGUAUAUUCGGAUAGAGUACGGCAGAAGAUUCAUGGCUAGAACCAGAACAACCUAUCACAAGCAGGCAAGGCAGUCAUUCAAGCUAUACUGUCAUAUAUUAUUAGUGUUUUUCGGCUCCCAAAUUCGCUACUCAAUGAAAUACAAGGAAUGAUGCAGACUUCUUUUGGCAUAAUAAUGAUAAAAGAUGGAUUCAUUGGAUUGGAUGGCCAUGGUUAUGUCAAAGAAAAUUGGAAGGAGGAUUGGGCUUUUGAUCCUUGAAAGUUUUUAAUUUAGCAAUGUUGGCUAAGCAGUUGUGGGGGUUUUUGAUGGAACCACAAUGUCUUUUGUCAUAGGUACUAAAAGCGAAGUAUUUUCCAAACAUGCACUGGUGGCUGCUCUUAUUGACCCUCGUACACAAGAUUGGGAUAGAGAGAUUCUUAAUGGUUUGUUCUUAGAACAAGAUAGAGAAAUCAUCCUUUAGAUGCCCCUCAGCAACACAGAUCAACCAGACUCAAUUUGUUGGCACCGCACACGAAUGGUUCAUUCAGUGUCAAGAGCGCUUAUUUUGUAGCCCUACAGAACCAAAUGGAGCUUCUACAAGUGCAACAUCGGCAAGCGUCAACACCGGCAUAUGGAAGAAAAUCUGGAAUGCUAAUGUUCCCCCUAAGACAAGUGUGGGCAUUAGCUGAAUUACCGUGGUCAAUGGCUUCAACCUGGGGCAAUUGUCCUCUUGAGUGACUCCAACAUCUGUCGGACUCCCUUUCUGGUGAAGAAUUUGAUAGGGUGCUGGUGAUUUGCUGGUUUUUAUGGUGGAGUAGGAACAAACUAUGUAUGGAAAAGAAAUACACAACCUCAAUUCAGACAGUGAAUCCAGCUAAUGCUUUUGACACGACAUUCAGGAUGGUGAACCUCAAAAAGCUUCACAAAUUCAGAUUGCUAGUAACCCGAGUGUAAGUUGGUCACCUCCACCCUUUCCACGGUGCAGUGUUCAAUAACAAAAUGGAAGUUGGCAUUGGGGUUGUGGCUAGAGAAUGUAAUGGAACUGUCUUAACUUGGGUUUCCGACAUAAUUUGAAGAAGAGGUGAUGUUUGUAGUAGAUGUGAUUUCUUAGGGUAAAUCAUGUCUAAGUCUGGAGAGAAAUAUGUGGUGUAUCAAGGCUUGUAUUCAUUCAAAAAGAAAAUAGUGUUGUACAGUGCUUUAUAUACACAGGAAGAGAAUUAACAAAAAUAUAACUGCUGCUAACUAACUAGAUGAAAUCGUGUUCCUAACUAACAAAAGUGUCAAACUACAAAAUACAACUAAUACAACAAUCAGCAACAUCAACUUGCAGCCUGCUCUGUUUUGUGAAUAUUGCUGCUACUGCUGUUGGUUGCUUGCUAUUGUUUUCUGCUGCAAAAUAAUCAUAACACCCCCCUCAAGCUGGAGCGCCGGAGGCCAAGCCCAGCUUGACGAACAAACGAGCAAAAUCAGCAGAGGGGGAGGACUUUGUGAGAAUGUCAGCCAACUGGUCACGCCCAGACAUGUGAGAAGGCUAAAUAAAUCCCAACUUGAACUGAUCCCGCACGAGGUGACAAUCGAUGUCAAGGUGUUUCGUGCGUUUGUGGAACAUGGGAUUGGCGGUGAUAUGGAUAGCGGCCUGAUUAUCGCACCAAAAUGGAACAGGCAUGGGAAAUUGAACACGAAAGGAGCGUAAGAGAUAAGAUAACCACAGAAGUUCACACACGGCUGCACCCAUGCUGCGAUAUUUGGCUUCGGCGGAAGAACGGGACACGGUGACCUAUUUCUUGGACUUCCAAGAGACCAAGGAAGAGCU